rnacentral:rRNA from 1 species
UACGUAGGGUGCAAGCGUUGUCCGGAAUUAUUGGGCGUAAAGAGCUCGUAGGCGGUCUGUCGCGUCGGCUGUGAAAACCUGGGGCUCAACCCCAGGCCUGCAGUCGAUACGGGCAGACUAGAGUCCGGCAGGGGAGACUGGAAUUCCUGGUGUAGCGGUGAAAUGCGCAGAUAUCAGGAGGAACACCGAUGGCGAAGGCAGAUCUCUGGGCCGUAACUGACGCUGAGGAGCGAAAGCGUGGGGAGCGAACAGG